rnacentral:rRNA from 1 species
GUCUAUGGCCAUACCACCCCGAACGCGCCCGAUCUCAUCUGAUCUCAGAAGCUAAGCAGUGUCAGUCCUGGUUAGUACUUGAAUGGGAGACCUAGAAGAAUUUAAACCCUCUAAAAU